CCAACGUUUACCCGAUUACUAUUCUCUCUCUCUCUCUCCCUCUCUCUCUCUCUUCCAAGUUCCACCUCUCUGAGUACACGCUGCGCAGACCAUGGCUAAACCUUUCCUCAUCCUUUCUCUCUCUCUCCUCUUCAUCUUCCCUCUCUCCUCUUCAAACCCUAACUCUAACUCUAACUCUAACUCAUCGUCAAAGUCGCCACCGCUAACCGCCCACGCGGAGCUCACCAACUACGGCUUCCCCGUCGGCCUCCUCCCCACCAACGUCGUCGGCUACACCAUCAACACCACCUCCGGCGACUUCGCCGUCCACCUCGGCGACAACUGCAAGAUCACCCUCCCUCCUGACAACUACCUCGCCACCUACUCCAAGCACAUCACCGGCAAGAUCGUCGCCGGCCGCAUGGCCGACAUAAACGGUAUUAGGGUUAGGGCUUUCUUCCAGUGGUGGUCCAUCACCGGAAUCAAAUCCAGCGGCGAUGAUUUGGUCUUCGAGGUCGGUAUGGUCUCCGCUAAGUACCCCUCCAACAACUUCGGCGAGAGUCCGGACUGCGAGGGCAAGCGUGCUUCUUCUUGACCUCUCCACAUGUUUUUCAGGUGUUGAUGAUAUACCUCCGCCAAGGCAAUAGCUUAGUAGGACUUGGAGCAAGGGCUUCGUUUUGUUUGAUUGUUGCAUAUGUUUUGUACAGGCCAAGGGCCUUUAGCUGUAUUGGAUAUAAAUCUACUUUUUUUGUAACCAAGAAUCGUCUUGAAAAGUUAUAAACCUUUAGGGUAUUUAUUAUUUGCUUGAUGUUCAUUUUAUUAUGUAACAUAUGCUAUAGAUUCAGGGAUAGGCUUGUGAAUGCAUAUGUGCAUAUGUUACUCUUUUGUAAACUUACUUGGAAAGUGAUGAAAGAUAAGUACUUUAUCA